rnacentral:rRNA from 1 species
GGUGAGUAAUACUUAGGAAUUUGCCUUUGCGAGGGGGACAACAGUUGGAAACGACUGCUAAUACCGCAUAAUGCCUACGGGCCAAAGGGGGCUUUUGCUCUCGCGUGAAGAGAAGCCUAAGCGAGAUUAGCUAGUUGGUGGGGUAAAGGCCUACCAAGGCGACGAUCUCUAGCUGUUCUGAGAGGAAGAUCAGCCACACUGGGACUGAGACACGGCCCAGACUCCUACGGGAGGCAGCAGUGGGGAAUAUUGCACAAUGGGGGAAACCCUGAUGCAGCCAUGCCGCGUGUGUGAAGAAGGCCUUCGGGUUGUAAAGCACUUUCAGUGGUGAGGAAGGGGUAAAUGUUAAUACCAUUUAUCAUUGACGUUAGCCACAGAAGAAGCACCGGCUAACUCCGUGCCAGCAGCCGCGGUAAUACGGAGGGUGCGAGCGUUAAUCGGAAUUACUGGGCGUAAAGCGUACGCAGGCGGUUUGUUAAGCUAGAUGUGAAAGCCCCGGGCUCAACCUGGGAGAGUCAUUUAGAACUGGCAGACUAGAGUCAUUUAGAGGGGGGUGGAAUUCCAGGUGUAGCGGUGAAAUGCGUAGAGAUCUGGAGGAACAUCGGUGGCGAAGGCGGCCCCCUGGAGAUAGACUGACGCUCAUGUACGAAAGCGUGGGUAGCGAACAGGAUUAGAUACCCUGGUAG